rnacentral:rRNA from 1 species
UACGGAGGGUGCGAGCGUUGUUCGGAAUCACUGGGCGUAAAGCGCGUGUAGGCGGCCCAUUAAGUCUGAUGUGAAAGCCCGGGGCUCACCCCCGGAAGUGCAUUGGAAACUGAUGGACUCGAGUCCCGGAGAGGAGAGUGGAAUUCCUGGUGUAGCGGUGAAAUGCGUAGAUAUCUGGAGGAACACCGGUGGCGAAGGCGGCAUCCUGGACCAAUACUGACGCUGAGGAGCGAAAGCUAGGGGAGCAAACGGG